AAGAUUUUGGCACCUCAGGAAUUGCUGCACGUGUACAAUCGCCACUGAAUGGAUUUCAUCUGUUGCCCAUCAAUCUAGCAGCUUCUGAUGUGUAAUUUUUUUUGCCGUGUGUCUGUGGAAGGUAAUAAAAGCUUUGAGCAGCAGUUGCACAAUAAAGAUUUGUCAUGGGGAUAUCACUUCCGUCUUGGGUGUCUUACUGAGGGGAAGUAGUUCUGCAAGUUCAAACGGUGUCUCCCUGGAAUGCAAGUAUGUGGAAUGUUUCAGCCAGAUAACAGCAUUUCAGAGAUAGAUAGUGAUUGGCCUGUUUGUGUGAAGCUGGAAGCGCUUAGCAGUGUCUCCUGUGUCUUGUAGGAAGCAAAGUCUUAGCUCUUUGGCAGUGGUACGCCAAUGUACAGAAAGGCCGUGUAGGCUGCUGCUAAAACUGUAGAAGAUGCUGUGUGUGAGGCUACAUGCAUGCUUUCCAAAGGUGGUUUCACCAUGGUGCACUGUGUUGGACGCAUCUACCUCCUGUUGGAGUGCUUUAUCAAUGGCUCUGUGAUAUGACCUGUGAUAUCAAUUUUCUGGUGAGGUGGGAUAUGGUAGGACAAAACACUGGGCCUGACUGGCACUUAUGUUUCUUCCAUAGCACAGUGGAUUCUCUCUUUUGUCAGUUUGCAUCAGCUAUCCUGGCUCAGUCCUCUCCCAACCUCUUGCCCACCCCCACCUUACAAGCCUGUGUGAGUGGGGGUAGUUGGGGUGACAGCUUCCAUGCUGUGGGACCAGUGUUCCACAGUAGCUGAAACACUGGUGUGUUAUCAACACCCUUCUAGCUACAACUGCACCACAGAACACUGUGAGGGCUGCAAUGAGGAAAGUUACCUCCAUCUCAAGCCAGACCCAAACCAAAACUACAUUCCAGUGCCACUGCAAACUUCAACUUGCUUUAACAGCUAUUAAAAAAGGGAGGUGGACAUAGGAAUGUUGGGCUGUCCUUCAUUGCCCUUGAACCCUAUGUUACUGAGACAAUGUGAGGCCCCCACUCGUAGCAGCAUGUGGCAGCAGUGACCAUCGUGUCCAGAGAGGCCACAACCGAUGGCAGGGAAAAGAGAUAAGUGUCUUUGGUUUGCAUGAAAGUACAUUUCCUUUCCUCCCCCCCCCCCCCUUCCCAUGCCGGGGGGAGCAGGAGGCAGAGGCCCGGUAGCCCGAGCAAAGCCCAGAGAGCAGAGAGGGCAGAGCCAGGGCCAUGGGGUUUUAUCAGGUGUCCCAUGGGAGGAGUCUUAAGAUCAGAUUACAGCCUCCUCAGAAUGGGAAGGCUCCACACCCACUGAAAGGCAUCUUCAUCUCUUCAGUAAUCCAUAGCGAUUGGGUAAGUUUGGUGAUGCGGGUGUAUAAGUAACCCGCAGACGACUUUCUUUAGUCAUCCUGUGGGAGGAGAUAGAAAUUAUUUCCCUGAAGUAGAUGGAAACUGCACUGGUGCAGUGUUUGCAUACUGAAUGACUGAGGUAUGUAAGGUCUAUGGUUCUGUCUGUGUAAACUCCCUAAGGUAUCUAGAAGACACUCCCGCUUUGAGGGAGCAGGGGAAUUUUGGAGAAGACAGGUAUUGUUUAUAUAUUCCGAGAGAAUGGGUGAUUGCCAUAGGCUUUAGAAGUCUCUGGCACCUGGUGGAAUUUUAUGUCACGCCUCACAGGCAAGGUUGUGGAUACUUAGCUCCAAACAGGAGAGAGCCAAGGGUUAAAAAACCCAGAUCCACUGGAGAAUUGUAGCAUCCUAGACCAGCCCAAGUGUGAAGGGACCUUGAAAGAUCAUCUGUUGCAGCCUCUUGUGGGAAAGGGAACCUAGGUGAGAUUAUUUAGCACCCUGUCCAAUCAGAUCUUAAAACCUCCAGCAAUGGGGACUGGUGCAACUUGUGCCCCUUGUCCCUGGUCUUCUCCAUGUGACUUCUUGUGAAGAGAAAGCCUCUGUCCUCUUUGUACCCUCCCUUGAAUUACUGGAAUACUGUGAGAAGGUUCCCCCUGAGCCUAGGCAGCUUCCUAACCUAUUGCAACUAAUUCCUUUCUCAUUGCUAGUCUUCGUGCAGCCUCUCACUGCUUUUUGAUGUUCCUCCACAGCUUGACGAUUGUCCCGAGCCCAUUUGUCUGAGAACGUAGGACUUGGGCUUAUUCCAUGCUUCUGUAUAUAGUCAGUGCUAUCGCUUGCCAUCCUGCCGACUACACUAAUUAGCGCGAAUGGAUGUUUUAGGUUGCGUAAAGAAUCACUGGCAAGGUAUCAGCCAAAGCAGGUUUAAUAUAAAAGUAAAAGCACAUCAAAGUUUGUUCCCAAGGUUCAUUUUACUACUACUAAAGAGGUAAAGCACACAGAGAAAAAACAAACUAAAAUUUAAACCAAAAUCAACUCCAACAUCCAUGUCGAGGCUGGAGGGGGAAAAAGGAGGAAAGAAUAAGGAUAAAAAAGAAUAAGGAAUAACCUUCCAUUGAGUCUUCUAUAUGUGGCUUGUGAAUAGAGAGCCUCUGUCCCCUUUGUAGCUGCAUUUUGAGAGCCAAAAUACUGUGAUAUUGUUCUUUUUGAGCCUUCUCUUAUCCAAGGGAGAAAUGACCCAGCACCUUCAGGCUUUCCUCACGUUCUCCAGCCCUUUGAUAAUCUUCAUUGCCCUCCUUGGGACCCUCUCCAAUCUGCAUCUCUUUUUUGAAUCCUGGGGACCAGAACUGAACACAGCACUCCAGGGGUGACCUCUGUGAGAAGAGGCCUGGGUCUGCCCUGCGCUUAACACAGCUUAGUUUCUGCCAGCUAGGCACCAGACUCCCUGAGAGCCAAAGCUGAGCAACUCAGCAAAUCUGGUGGCACCCCUAUGUAAGCAUAUUUAAGAAAGUGCCAAAUGCUGUAUGGGGCAGGUGCUUCCCUCCUGCCCUUAGAUCUGUCAGGUGACUGUCCUUGUCAUGGUUUAGGGCAAAUUUUGGGAGGAAACCUCCAAAGGGGUCUCCUCUAAAAAAGCAGUUUCAGUGGCCCCUCCUGCUUCGGAAGAAAAUCUUAUUUGAGAAAAGGGGAAAAAAACUGUUUAUUUAACAAGCAAAGUACUCACAAGCAUGGAAAAAUGAGUAAUAUUAAACAAUGGAACCUCUUCCUGUUCUGAAGAGAUCCCAAAUUCAAGAAAGAGUCCUUCUGUGUGUGUGGCUCAAUCUCAGUCUCUCUGGGCUCAGGCCUGGUAUGCCAGGCCCAGUAUGCAGCCCUAGGCAAUUCUCCUGAUGUCCUGGACCGGAGAGAAGCUGAAUAGUCCCAGAAGAAGAAGUCACAGUUCAGGGAAAACCUUUCUUGCCGUAGCUAAUGAGGAAAACCAGUGAAAAAAACAAAGAAAAACUCCUUUCUCUCUCUGCAAAAGCCGAGAACUCGGAGACCAUUUGAGAGCCUUAUCUCUCUCUCGCUGUCCCUGUUAGGCAGCAUGGUCCCCGAGAGAGGAAUUCCAAGGGAGUAAAGUGAAGCUUCUGCAGACAAACUGCAUGCUGCUUCUCCCCCCCUUCUCCCUCUCUGUCUCUCUAAGCCUAGCUUAAAGUCACGGAACCCAUUUCUGGGCAAAAAAACAGACAAUGGGGAUACCAGCAUUAUAAAGUUGCCCCAGGACAGUCCUGAAGGAAUUUUUUAAUCUUAUUUUCUCCUGGCCCAUUGAGGAGGGGAGGAAAGAGAAUAGAUAGUUAGGCCCCUGGCAGCCAGCCAAGGUCUGGCAUCAGAAAGCCUAAAAGGCAUAUUCUUCCAUGUAGAAGGGGGUUGGUAGUUUGGAGAUUUUAGAAACAGGAAAUUUUGGAGUUAGGAAAGUCUGGUGAUAUCUGGGAUUCCAGUCACUUUGAGAGGGGGAAGUUUCAAUGGAAAAAGCCUUCUUUCUGAGCAAUAAGAGGUUCUUGUGAGAAAAAGGAUCUAGUCUCCAUUUUUUCUCACUUGGUAACACAAGGGGCAAAGAAUUGGAACUCGCACACACAAAGGGAUGAAUAUGGGCAGAGCCUGUUGGGUGCUCUGUGUGUGUGUGUGUGUGUGUGGAAACCGAGGACCAGCUAUAGAGAGGUCAUGGAGGAGAUGUAAGGUUUCUCUGGCUAAACAUGAUUAAGACAGGGCUUUAGGGAAGGCAAUGCCUUGAGGAUGUGAACAGUAAAAGGACAAUAAUUAAGACUGGCCAUGUCGUUCCUGACCCUUUUUUGGCAAAGUUUUAUGACUGAAUUGAUCUGACUGAAGGGCAGGUACCAAUCCAUCUUCUGUAACUGGAAUUUCAGCAGCAAAGGGUAACCAAAGCUGAGAAUCAGGCACCCAUGAUGUUGCAUUAGGUGUGGCUGAGAUGGAGUUUGUUUCCCUACAGGAGCUCUCACAGUGCCGUGCUUUGCAUUGGUAGGUAGAAAUGUGUUGAUAAUACACCAGUGUUUUGGCUACUGCUGUGCAGUACUGACACAACAUCAGCUCUGUCUCUCAUACAUUCAGCCCCAGCAUCAUCAAGCUGUGGGUGGGCAAGAUCUUGGCAGGAGUCACAACCAGGACAGCUGACCCAAAUUAGCCAGAUAUUAUUCCAUACCAUAUAUCAGUUCAGAUAUAAAAGGUAAAAUAGGAGGAGGAAGCAAGGCCAUUUCUUAUUUAAAAUGUUUGCCUCUUGGAGCAACUCCUACGUGCGAUAAAGCCCUGCUUCCCAGGAAGUGGGAAGGCGUUCCCUCUGCUUGUUUGCGCAUGAACUUUUGCUUUCGCUUUAGUCAGCUGCCUCAUCUCAACCUCUGAGUUGUUUUUCAUCUUAUUUUCCCUUCCUUGUCCAGCUGAGAAGGGGGAGUGAUUGAGUGGCUCAGUGGGCACCUGGCAUCCAGACAUGGUCAACUCACCAGUCAUUUUGGUGCCCAGCAUGGGCCGAGAAAAUGGCAGUUAUAUAUCUUGCAUGGUAUAGUAAUAGCAGUUCUUUAGUAGCAAGCUCCUGUGCAGGGACAUGGAGUUUGUCGGGUACACUGUUUAUCUCUUUGUUUUGUUCAGUUUGGGAACAUGUUAAUACAAACAGUGUCUCUGCGCUUUGCUGUGACAUUGGUGGCUUUGUUGUGCUGGAGGAGCUAUUUUCUGGGGACAAUGAGGGAGUCCCUCUCCCUAUCUGGGAUUGAUGUGUAUUGUUUUAGAAUGCAGGCUCCCAUGUUCCUUGUUCUUCCUCAUGUAAGCUGUUGAAUACUAUUAAUACUAUUAACUAAUACUGUUGGCAUACUAUGGGGUUUGUGGAAUCUGGUGUCAUCCUGCUGUGAGACAAAACAAACUGUAGGUGAGGAGAUAUUGAAAUGUGCCCUGAAGCGGCUGGUCCCUGGAUGGCAGUGUGUGUGGAAGGAUUUGGGCAGGUUCCUAGAGUGGUUAUCACCUCCCCUUGCCUGGGACUUUACACCUAAACAGGCAAUGAGCUGGGGCAAACAGACGCGUCACCUGAUAGAAGGGUGCCUUACCUCCCCCGAUGAAACCCAGCAGCUUCUCGAAGUGUACGAGGCCCUGGGCUAUGCCUGUUGAGCCACAGUUCAGUACUGUCAGAGGAGUGUGGCUGAGGCAGGGACCCAAAGUGCAUUUGAGGACACUAUGGCUGAGAUAGGGACCCAAACAACAGUGACUACAGUAAUUGCCCCCCAGAAGUAACAAAGAAAAGGUGAAUAAGGAGAGCCAAGGAGCGAUCAGCAAGACUCUCACCUUUUAGUCGUCCCAUGUGGCCAGUGCAAAAGUCUGAUGGAGGGUGGAGGUUAACAGUAGACCAUCGUGGCCUGAAUGAAGUAACUCUCCCACUGAGUGCUCCUGUACCGCACAUGUUAGAGCUCCAAUAUGAACUGGAGUCAUAGGCAGCCAGGUGGUGUGCUGCACUUGGCAUUGUCAAUGCAUUUUUCUCAAUUCCUUUGGCAGCAGAGUGCAGACCACAGUUUGCUUCCAUGUGGCAGGGUGUCCAAUAAACCUGAAUUGACUGCCCCAGGGCUUUGUUGUGCUGGAGGAGCUAUUUUCUGGGGAUGAUGAGGGAAUACCUUUCCCACUUCCUACCCAGGACUGAUGUUGAUGGGUUUAGAAUGCAGGCUCCCUCCUUCCUUGUUCAUCCUUGUGUAAGCUGUUCAAUACCAUUAAUACUUUACACCAUGCUCCUGCUGAAAACACCAUCUUAGGCUUUGAGAGACACAUUUUGUCAUGAUAUGGUACCCCAGAAAGAAUGGAAUCAGGCAAUGAUGCUCAUUUUUGAAAGAACCUCAUAAAUUCUUAGGCAAAGAAACAUGCGAUGAGUGGAUAUAUCACAUCCCCUAUUACCUACAGGCCUCUGGAAAGAUUGAGAGGUAUGAUGGACUGCUGAUGACUAUUAAGAGGGUUAGGCAAUGCGGCAUGGAAGCAUUGGGAUGCAAAUUUAGCAGAAGCCACUUGGCUAGUUAACACCAGAAGAUGUGCUCACUGCGCUGGUCCUGCCCAAACAAAACCACUACAUGCUGUGGGAGGAGAUAAGGUCCCCAUACUACACACAGGGAAGUGUCUGGGCAAGUUGGUGUGGAUUUCUCCUCCCAUGGGAAAAGGCAAACCCAUUUGUGGGACUGUCUUUGCUGAAGGACCUGGAUGUACUUUGUGGGUAACACAGAAGGAUGGGGAGACCUGGUGUGUGCCUCAAGGAGAUUUAACCUUGGGUGGAAAAUAAUCUGUGUGUAAAUUGUCUGUUGCAAGAAGUAGCCAGAGUGACUUGAGGCAAUGAAGAGUCAAUUUUAUAAGGAGUAGGGAGAGUGUGACAAUGGCCCAGGCAGGUCUGGUGUUGGUGCUGAACUAUGACAGCAUACAGCUGGACUGUAUGCAUCAUAAAAGGAGCAGGGGUUUGGCUACAGAGAGCAGAUGCCAGCCAAUCCCUGACGAUGAAUGCAAUCAGGUAGCUAUUGGUCAAUGAGCUGGGUGGUAACCAUUCAUAGCCAAUCAGGUUCGAACACAGUCUUUUGAAUUGGCUGUAUAGGAGCUGUGCACACCAAUAAAUUGCCCUCUGCUUCAUGAACCUCGGAGUGUCAUGUCAUGUCUCCAUCUCCCCCGACUGUGACAUAUGGUGCACCCCGAUGUGAGGACAAUAAUUAAGCCACAAGAAAACAAAGGAGAGCUGUUAAGGAAUGCAGCUGGAGAGCUGCCUACAGCCAGAGAGCUACAGCCUGGAGAGCUGUGUGAAGGAGAUAGCCAAAGGAGCUACCGACAGCCGAGGAGCUGUGACUAUCUAGAAGAGGACAUAAAAGGGUGAGGUACUGCUGGGUACAAUGGAUGCUACAAUUUCUGCAGAGAACCAAACUAUAGUGAAUAUUUGGACUCAGAUCUUAAGUAAAAGAGGGGUUGAGCACGAUGAAGAGGCUCUAGAAAUUUUAUUACUGUUUUGCAAGAGCCAAGGUGUAGAAAUCAACACAGAUGCUGCCUUUAGUGUUAAAACCAGGGAACAAAUUGGGCAAUUGAUUUUGGCUCUGCCUCUAGAGGCGAUGAAAUUGCUGUAAGCGUUUUAACUACCUGGAGGGUGUUAAUGGAUACGUCAAAAUUGAUAAAAGCCAAGAGAAAUGCAAAAGUGGCUGCUAAGACACCAGUGCUGGUCACUCAAGAUGGCGGAGAGCAUGUGGUGCGAGCACACAAAAAACCCCAAGAUGGUCGACGCCACAUGCUGUGGACACCAGUCCCCCAAGAUGGCAGACCCCACAUGGUGCAGGAGCCGCCCGCUCAAGAUGGCGAAGCCUGCAUGCCAUUAGUGCAGCCCGCCGAAACAUCCUGAGAUGGCGGAGCGCGGGAGGCAGCCCACAGGGGAUGGGAUGCCGCGCCGGGCAUGUGGGGGGAGUGACCGUUAUUCAGGCUCCCCAGCCCCGCAGUACUGGUGCUCAACGAUAUCAAGAGCCGAAGCCCCUGCCGCCAGAGGCGUCUGCACAGCCCACGCAGUGGCCGCCCCUCUGCAAGUGCCAGAAGCCCAUACAGCACUUACACAGUGGCGGGAGCCAGCCACACGGUGUCUGGGGUCAUCCUCACUGUGCCUACAGGACCCAUUCACCAUUUCUUCCACAUGCCGUGUUACUAUUGAAGCGCUCAGCCUGCCUCCACCUCCAGCUGAUUGGUUCAGUCCUGGAGCCUGACCUUCGCUUGACACACCCACCUGCAGCAGUGCGGUGCCAAGCCCCCUGGAACAGUGCCGGAACCCGGAACAGUGCUGAAACCUGGAAGUGUGCCAGAACCCAGAAAGUGUGCUGGAACCUGGAAGUCAAGUGGCUCCCGAACUCAGAAGUACCUGCAGCGUGCUCUCAGAGCCUGCUGCCGCACUGCACCGCACCCCACCACACCUGCAGCCAAGGAUUGAACAGCCUGAGGGAGCCAUAUCGCUGAUGGAUAUGUGAGACCCUCACAGAGGGAACCUGAGCUCCAGCCCCUCUGCUGACCCCUGAGAGGAAGCCUCCACCGCACUGCUGGUACCAGCUCCAUCCCUGCUUCUGUUGGAUACCAUCCUCGCCCAUGAUCCAGUUAGUUUCUGGAAGGAGCUGCUGUAAAGGCAUCAUGCCAACCUUACAGAAAGGGGCAACAAGGCCACAAAAAAGUAAGUUCUCCCCACAAGUCCAACUCAUCAGGGUCAUGCCAAAAACAAGGGACUGGGCCUAUAGUAGCAAACUGUCACCGAUGUGGAAGACCUGGUCAUUUUGCCAAGGAUUGUAAAUCCAAAUUCCACAUUAAUGGACAAUCUCUUAGCAACCAGGGAAACUGGAACCUGAGCACACAAGGGAAGGGCAACUUCCCAUCUCCCAGCCCAAGCCUAUGUGAACAGCUCACAGGGAGAACAAGAGGCUCAGCUGGAAUGGAUGCUUCCACCGACAAUGCAAUAGCUAUAGACUCAUUAAAAGUGCAUAAAGUCCCCCUUAAGGCCCAUGGGCCUAUAGGGAAAGGACUGAGUGCACUAUUAUUAGGACGGUCAAGUGCAAUGUUACAAGGCAUUUUUGUUCCUCCAGGUGUUAUAGAUGCUGACUACAUGGGACAGAUUUGUACCACGGUAUCAACUCCUACCCCACCUAUGACUAUCCCAGCUAAAACUCACAUUGCCCAACUCAUUCCUUUUAAGUCUUGUGUUCCCAAAACAGAUUCAAAGCUUCGAGGAGACAGAGGCUUCAGAUCGACGGGAAAGCCUCAAGUGUACUGGACUCAGGUUGUUUCCAAUCGGAGACCAAACAUGGUUUGUAUACUUAUAAUGCCUUGGGCAACUCUGUCCCACACUAAAGUUAGUGGGAUGAUUGACACAAGAGCAGAUGUCACCAUCAUAUCUGCUAACACAUGGCCCCAAUCCUGGCCUACUACAGCUGUGAAGUCUGCUGUUGCUGGCCUUGGAGGCACCACACAGAAUUACUUAAGCAGUAAACCAGUUAGUCAAGAAUCCAGAGGGACAGACAGCCACAAUCCAUCCCUAUGUCACUGCUGCGCCACUCAACUUGUGGGGAAGGGAUGUUUUUUCAGUGUGGGGAGUUCGGGUAGGAAUGGAUUUUUUUAAUGAGGCCACUGUGCUGAAGGGCAUAAAGCACCCUACAUUAGCGUUGAAGCGGCUUACUGAGCAGCCUGUGUGGGUUCCUCAGUAGCCCCUUGGAAAGAUUAAAUGCCUUAAAUUCCUAGUUCAGGAACAAUUAGAUCAAGGAUAUAUCGAGCCAUCAACAAGUCCCUGGAACACUCCUGUGUUUGUAAUUAAAUAGAAGUCAGGUAAAUGGAGAUUACUCUGUGACCUAAGGAAAAUUAAUGCAGGUAUGGAAAGUAUGGGUGCUUUACAGCCUGGAAUGCCAUCUCCUACCAUGGUACCUGCUAAAUGGGACAUUUUGAUUGUUGAUUUAAAAAACUGGUUUUUUACUAUUCCUUUGCACUCUGAUGAUAUCCCAAAGUUUGCAUUCACAGUGCCUUCCAUCAAUCAUGCAGCACCAGUCAAGCGAUACCAAUGAAAAGUAUUGCCACAGGGUAUGAAAAAUACCCAAAUGAUCUUCCAAUGGUAUGUUGCACAGGCACUCUCCAUAGUGAGGGAGCAAUUCCCAGGAGCAUACUGUUACCAUUAUAUGGAUGAUAUAUUGAUAGCAACCCCAACCAAAGAAGACCUCGUGCAGAGUCAGCCAAAAUUGAUGCAAACUCUACAAGAGUUUGGGCUGUAAGUCACACCAGAAAAGGUGCAGCAGCAACCUCUAUGGAAGUAUCUGGGAGUUAAAAUAUUCGCUCAAACAAUACAACUGCAAACAAUUCAAUUUUCAACCAAAAUUCAAACCUUGAAUGAUGUACAAAAACUUUUGGGUAUCAUAAACUGGGUAAGACUCUAUUUAGUGUUAACCACUCCGCAGUUAUCAUCCUUGUUCAAUAUUCUCAAAGGUGACCCUGAGUUAACCUCUCUGAGAGAAUUAACUCAAGAGGCAAAAACCGCUCUUGAAACAGUAGAGCGGGCCACAAUGAACAGACAGGUUUACCAGAUAUGUCCUGAAGUUUGUAUUACAGUGUUUAUUGUCAGUGUAAAUUUGCAUCCUACAGGAAUUAUUGGUCAGUGGGACACACAGUGGUCUGACCCACUACAUAUUCUAGAAUGGAUCUUUUUGCCCCACCAAUAUAAAAAGACAGCACCUACUAUUUUUUUAAUUAUUUGCCCAGUUAAUUAUCAAAUGUCAUUUAAGGUGUUUGCAGCUAAAUGCCAGAGGCCCCUCAAAAUUGUUAUACCAGUACAACAGGAAUAUUUUGAAUGGUGCUUUGCAAAACUAUACAGGGCAAAUUAUCUGUGGUGGCAAACAGCAGGCCUGUAUAAGGCCUUGCAAACUGAAUCCUAGUUCAACAUAGCCGGGGGAAAGCGAACAGCUCUUCAUGAAAACAGAAACCUGCAACAGUAAAAAACAACUUGUUUCCCUGAAAAAGAAUUCUACAGAUUAGGACCAUUUUCCUGCACCUGUUUCAAGAAUCCAAAUGGUCUCAGCUUUAAGAAUGAAAACAAUAUCUUACAAACAACCCUUUCUUGCACAUAGACGCCUUGUCCAAGACUGACCGAUUACUACAGGGUAACAGCUUGUUACCAACCAAUAAGAGAUAGACACGGGAGGGUUUAUAAAACUCUAUAUAGAGGGAUGUAUGAAAGAAAGUACUAGCUUUUUUCACUCCUUGAAAGAGUGUGUCUCAUCUCUCUGAAACAAGGUCAACAGUGACAAGUACCUAUCACUUACCCAGCCACAGAUUGUUGCGAUUAAGCGAGACCACUGUGUUAUCCCUGAAACCACUAAACCACUGCACACCCCUGAAAGGUCUCACAGUUUUCACUGAUGGGUCUGGAAAAACAGGAAAAGCCAUCGUGACCUGAAAAGAUGAUAACGGUUGGCAGGCACUAGAAGGUCACGAUAGUGGAUCAUCUCAGCUACUUGAAUUACGUGCUAUAAGCAUGGCUUUUCAACAUUUUCCUCAUGUUUCUUUAAAUAUUGUGACUGAUUCCGCUUAUGUUACAGACAUCACACAAAGAUUGGACCAAGCACUGCUAAAAGAAAUUGACAAUGCUGCAUUAUUUGAAUUGCUAAAAACUUUAUGGCACACAAUCCAAGCCAGAACAUGUCCUUACUACAUUUUGCAUAUUUGUAGUCAUACAAACUUGCCAGGAUUUAUUGCAGAAGGUGAUGCCUGGGCUGAUUGACUAACUAGCCCUGUCUGGACAGCACCACAACAAGAUAUGCUAGUAAAAGCAAGAGCAUCACAUGCCUUUUUCCAUCAAGGUGUUCAAGCUCUACAACAGUAAUUCUUGUUAGCAAAUACUGAGGCAUGCAAUAUUGUUAACACUUGUGCUGAUUGUCAAGGGCACACUUCACCACUGCCGAUGGGAGUUAACCCCCAUGGUCUGCGGGCCUUACAAGUUUGGCGAACAGAUGUCACACGUAUUUUGGAAUUCAGUCAUUUAAAAUAUGUUCAUGUUUCAAUAGACAUUUUUCAUCUGCCAUAUGGGCCUCAGUUCACACUGGAGAAAGAAGUCAUGGUGCCAUCGCACAUUGGCGACUAGUCUUUGCUGCCCUAGGCAUCCCUCACACUAUAAAAACUGAUAAUGGUCCUGCAUAUAUAUCACAGAAUACUCAACAGUUUAUACAGCUCUGGGGUGUAUCAUACCACACAGGUAUUCCUCGUUCCCCUACAGGACAAGCAAUUGUUGAACAUGCACAUGGCACUUUAAAGCUUGUUCUUGAAAAACAGAAAAGGGGGAUGUCUGGUGAGACCCUGCAGAGUAGGGUGGCCAAAGCCCUGUACACUUUAAACCAUCUAACAAUAUCAAAAAACUCCCAAAACCCUGACAUCAUAAAUAAUUUCUUGUCACUACAGUGCUCUAGUGAUGUCCAGUUACCUAAACCUAAAGUAUUGGUAUGGGACCUCAUUACAAACAAAUGGGAAGGCCCUUGGGACUUUGUCACUUGGAGGCAAGGGUAUGCGUGUAUUUCUAUAGAUGCCAGUAUUUGAUGGGUACCUGCUUGGUGUGUGCAACCUGCUACGCUCUGCUCUGGACCACAACCAACAAUGCCUCCCUGACAGCCCCUCAGCAGAUGCUAUAGAACAGUGGCCAAAACAACUCCCUGCACCAACUGGAUGGAAAUCUGAGACCUUUGGAAUGAGAACUCAUCUGUGACUUCACCUGGACCUCAAGAGUCGGACACUUUGAGGACACUACUAGCAAAAGGAUAUGCUGCCUCUGAUAGUUUUAAAUCUUACCUCUGAUAGUUUUUAAGUUGGUUUGUUUGUAACAUUCAAGUUGUAAGUUGUAAUUAAUUAGCCUGCGGCAUGCCACCCAGCAAUACUGUACCUUUGAUAGCUCCUGGACGCGAUAGUAAAAAAUUUGACGGGGCACACCAAUAGCUAGAAAGAUUAGACUUGUUGAGUUUAGUGAAGAAUUUCAUUGUCCUUGUACCGUGUUUGUUGUCCUUUCUGCAAUGGGCCCCGCAGAGAGACAAUAAACACAGCUUUUAUAUUUUAAAACAGAAAGGGGGAACUAUGACAGCAUACAGCUGGACUGUAUGCAUCAUAAAAGGAGCAGGGGUUUGGCUACAGAGAGCAGAUGCCAGCCAAUCCCUGACGAUGAAUGCAAUCAGGUAGCUAUUGGUCAAUGAGCUGGGUGGUAACCAUUCAUAGCCAAUCAGGUUCGAACACAGUCUUUUGAAUUGGCUGUAUAGGAGCUGUGCACACCAAUAAAUUGCCCUCUGCUUCAUGAA